AUUGAACGCUAGCGGGAUGCUUUACACAUGCAAGUCGAACGAGUGGCGGACGGGUGAGUAAUAUCUCGGAACGUGCCCGGUGGAGGGGGAUAACUACUCGAAACAGUAGCUAAUACCGCAUACUAUUGGAUCUGCCGAUAUGGGAUUAGCUAGUUGGUGGGGUAAAGGCUCACCAAGGCGACGAUCCGUAGCUGGUCUGAGAGGACGACCAGCCACACUGGGACUGAGACACGGCCCAGACUCCUACGGGAGGCAGCAGUGGGGAAUAUUGGACAAUGGGGGAAAGCCUGAUGCAGCCAUCCCGCGUGUAUGAGAAGGCCUUCGGGUUGUAAAGUACUUUUGGCGGAGAAGCGGUACCUGCAGAAGAAGCACCGGCUAACUCCGUGCCAGCAGCCGCGGUAAUAC
rnacentral:rRNA from 1 species